CUUGGUUGAUCCUACCAAUAGUCAUAUGCUUGUCUCAAAGAUUAAGCCAUGCAUGUGUAAUUAUGAACUAAUUUAGAUUGUGAAACUGUGAAUGGCUCAUUAAAUCAGUUAUAGUUUGUUUGAUGGUAUCUACUACUCGGAUAACCAUAGUAAUUUUAGAGUUAAUACGUGUAACAAACCUUGACUUUUGGAAAGGAUGCAUUUAUUAGAUAAAAGGUCAAUGUUGGCUUUGCUCAUUUCUCUAAUGAUUCAUGAUAACUUGAUGGAUAGCACAGGCUUUAUGUCAGUGACACAUCAUUUAAAUUUUUGCCUAUCAACUUUCAAUGGCAAGAUAGUGGCCUACUAUGGUGGUGACGGGUGACAAAGAAUUAGGGUUUGAUUUUAGAGAGGAAGCCUAAGAAAUGGCUACCACAUCUAAGGAAGGCAGUAGGUGCGCAAAUUACCCAAUUUUGACAUAAGGAGGUAGUGACCAUAAAUAACAAUUAUGGGCUCUAUAAGUUUGGUAAUUCGAAUGAGUACAAUCUAAAUCCCUUAAUGAAGAUCCAUUAGAGGGCAUGUUUGGUGCCAAUAGCUAUGGUAAUUCCAGCUCCAAUAGUAUAUAUUUAAGUUGUUGCAAUUAGAAAACUUGUAGUUGGAACUAGGGUUAGGUCAUCUGGUUUACCUCAUGGUAAGCACCUAUCUUCUCAUCCAUACUACCGAUGAUAUGCUCCUUGCCUUAAUUAGCCUUGUUGUUCUUUAGCAUUGUUACUUAAAGGAUUUAGAGUGCUCAAAGCAAGCCUAUGCUUGUAUACAUUAGCAUGGGAUAACAUCAUUGGAUUUUAGUCCUAUUGUGUUGGCUUUCAAGAUUUGAGUGAUGAUUAAUAGGGAUAGUCGAGGGCAUUCAUAUUUCAUAGUUACAGGUGAAAUUCUUUAAUUUAUGAAAAAUGAACAACUAUGAAAGCAUUUGCCAAGGAUGUUUUCAUUAAUUAAGAGUGAAAGUCGGUGGCUUGAAGAUGAUCAGAUACCAUCCUAGUCUCAAUCAUCAUGAUAGGGAUAUAUCAUUGCAAUUAUUGCUCUUCAUUCAGGAAAUUCUAGUAAGUGCAAGUCAUCAGCUCACAUUGACUACAUUCCUACCCUUUCUACACAGUGCUUGUCGCUCCUACCAAUUGAAAGGUCUAAUGAAGUGUUCGGAUUACCAUGAUGUGGAUGGUUCACUACCCAAGACAUCUUAAGAAGUCCAUUGAAUCUUAUCAUUUAGAGAAAGGAAAAGUCGUAAUGAGAUUUCUGUAGGUGAAAUUAUAGAAAGAUCAUUG
rnacentral:rRNA from 1 species